UAAAUCACCACCUGAACAGAACUCCAUAACUAAACAUGAUAAAUUAUCUGAAGUGAACUGUGCAUAGAGUGUUGGCAGAAAAGGAUGAUCCAGGAUCCGGAGAAUCUCUCUUUCAGUUUGGGCCCUCGGCAACUUUUUCCUUCUUGCCAGAUAUUCAUUAUCCAUAACUUUUAUUGCAAACAAGCAAUUGGUUUCUAGCAGCUCAGCAAGAUACACCGUGCCAAUGUCUCCGCAACCAAGCUUCUUCAACAAAUUGAAGUGACUUAAUCCUAAGAAUCCAUAGUGUUUUCUCACCUGAUUGAUAGCCUCCCACUUGCCGUCUUUAGACAUGUGUGGCCUAUUUCCAGUACUAGACCCACUUAGAUUGCUCUCGUCUUCUGGAUAUGUGA
rnacentral:misc_RNA from 1 species